GCUUGAGUGGUCAGGACGCCCCAGUCCUGCUUCGACGAAGCCGACAGAUGUGGAAAGCCUCUGGUUUGCGGAUUUUACAACUAACGUGCAAUCUCUAAAUGAGAUUCUCAUUUCCAGAAGAGGGAAAGAGCCACUGACCGGAGUCUGGGUGGUCCCGGGUUGCUGGCACCCUGUUGGGUUGGCAUCUGAUGGCGAGUAGGGCAGCGUGGCCUUUGCCGCAUGGAGCUUCCCAUCUGCAGAGGAAGGCAACUGAGAAUCGAGUCAGUGGACAGCUCACUGCAGAAGCGCCUGGUGUUGGAAGUACUCAGUGGAGCAUUGAACGCUUCCUUCCCGGCUCCUGCCCAGGGUGUGAUGGCUGUCCUGAGCAUCGGGGUUUACUUCCUUUCCAAAGGGCUUUGCGGGACGUGGCCCAGGAGGGACUCUGGUGUCAAAUUUGGCCUCAGGAGCUCAGCUGGCCGGGGUGAUGCCUGCACCCCUGCCCACGCUUCUCAGGGAGAAUGGGCUUGCCUGCCUCGUUUCCUGCCUCCUCUCCUAGACGCUUUGUUCGGCUUUCAAGUUCUUGCACAAGCAGGUUUGUGUCGGCCACGCCCCGGGGAGGAGCCACCGGAUCACCACCGUCAGCAGCCUGUUCCCGGCGGCCUCUCUGGCUUCCCUAAAGAGGGCAGGUGGAAUUUUCUGCAAUGCUGCUGUGCACGACGUGGAUGCUAUAUGCAUGUUGCUGGGGGAAGCCACUCUGGACGCUGUGUUUUCUCUGGGACAUGCCUUCUGCCCAGGUGAGAGGGCGCUUCACUGUUUCAGGGUGCUCCCAUGGCCACCAAGGAUGGUUGGAAUUGCAGCACAGGCUGGAGACCCUGUUCAAGAUUCCUGCCCCGCCCUCAGCUUUGGGCGACAGAUAAGUAACAUGGAACAUGUGUUAAAAAAAAAAAAAAUGACUAAAUAGUCAUGUCACUGAAUCCCUCAGAGAGUGCCCAAGGCUGAAAGGCGUCAUGCAGGAAGUGUUUCCUGUUCAGUGAAUUUGAGAGUCACUGUUUAGUAACCAUUUCUUCAGCCCCUGCUAUGUGACAGGCCGCCCGUAGUUUCUGAGGUUGCAAAGGUGAACAAAACGAUGUCUGUGGCUGGAAUUCGCAGGUUGGAAUGUGCACAGAUUAGGGGAUCAUCAGUGAGCACUGGGCGAAUACGGGGCUGGGGAUGCUGGUUCCCAGGUCCUGGCCCUGCAGCAGAAGCUCAGGGUGGGUCCUGAGGGCUGCUGAAGAUGACAGAUUGUCUGUUGCUUUAUGACACACCGUGCACGUAUCACGGCUUGAAACGGCAGCCACCAGGUAGCUAGGAUUCCACAGCCUGGACUGGGCUUGGCUGAAGCCCCUCUUGUGGUCUGCCCAGUAUCACUCAUGUGGCUGCAGCCAGCUAGUCAGCGUCCUGUCUGGAACAGCUCCACCAGGGUCACAGGGCCAGGCCCGCUGUCACCUGUGUCGCCUCCAGGCCUCUCCCCGCCCAUGUCUCCCCACGCCUCCUCAGGUCCCCACAGCAGCGUGGCCACACAUUUGAUGGCCUCAGGGCACCAAAGUGGAAGCGCUCAGAUGUCCUGAGGCUUGGGCCCGACGGAGGUGUGCCCGUUACACCACACCUCACGCACUGGCUCCUCUCAGUGCCUGCUUCACUCUGUCUCAUCAGCAUCCCCCUUGAUACCGCCUCCCCCACCCGCCCAAAGUUCACCCACGCCCCCCGUCCUGCUGGCCACCACCUUGUUCCUGGCCAUGUCCUCAUUUUGGCUGUGGUCAUCUGCCUGCAGUCUCUUCCCUGUGAGACCUCAGUCGGACCAGGUGCCAGCCUGCUCUGAGCUCUCCAGAGCGCAGGUGGAGGCCAUGGUCUACACUGACCCUCGGGCCUGUCACCGGGAGCGGGUCAUGGCUUCAAAUGGUCCGGUUCUUGGCGUUUUGAACAAAUAACUGGACAAAACGCCCAGCAAGGCAAGGAAAGAAUGAAGCAAUAGAAGAAGAAAACAGCGGUUUAUUGACAGUGGAAUCCACUCCACAGUGCGGGAGUGGCCGAGGGCAGCAGCUCAAGCGCCGGGACACAGGACCUUCUUGGGUACAGACACCCCUGCAGGUCCCCCAUCGGCCACUUCACAGUGCUGCAGGAAAGCGGUCAGAGGCAGGGUGAGUGACCAAGUUAUACUUCUAUGCACACGGAGACUCCUCCGGGAUCAGUCUGAUGGGUGCGGACGGUGGCCGUUCAGAGGCUGGAGAGAAGUUACCAAGCUGCAAACCCGCAGUCGUCAGAUUUGUUGCAGACAGCCAGUUCCCAUCUGCCACAGGAGAGGUGAGCCGUUCGCAAAGGGAGUAGCCUCUGGUCCUUUUGUUACUUAGGAGUGGAAAGUUAGGGUUUCCCUUCAAUUCAGUUCUAGAAAGUCGGUGUGAAGCAGCCUGUUUCCCUGCCUCCAGACCCUGAUCUCCUGCCUCAGGCCCACAGGUGCCGCCCCACCCCGAACCCCACUGGCCCCUUGUCUCCUUGCUCUUCCUCAGAAGGCCAAAGUUCCUGUCUGGGCCUGCUCCCUGGGCGGGGACAUGGGGACGGGCUCUGCUCAGCUCAUGGCUGCACCCCCAGGGUCCAGAAGGUGCUUGGGCCCCAAGCACCGAUGCCACAGAAGCUUGGCAAACGUGGAAGUGGACUCCUCACUGGGCAGUGCCCCUGCCUCUCAGGCACCUAUUCUGGAACAGCUUAUUUUUCUAUUAAGGACCAGUUUCUGUAUAAUUACUUGGCUCUGCCUUUCAUCCAUUGCUUCAGGUAAGGCAGUGAGUUCAGGCCGGGCAUGGUGGUAAUCCUAACACUGUAGUCCUCGCACUAUGGGAAGCUGAGGUGAGCGGAUUACUUGAGGUCAGGAGUUCGAAACAAGCCUGGACAACAUGGUGAAACUUCAUCUCUACUAACAAUACAAACAAAUUAGCCGGGUGUGGCAGUGGACACCUGUAAUCCCAGCUCGAGAGGCUAAGACAGGAGAAUUGCUUGAGCCUGGGAGGCAGAGGUUGCAGUGAGCCAAGAUCGUGCCACUGCACUCUAGCCUGGGCGACAGAGCAAGACUGUCUCAAAAACAAAACCAAGCAAAAGAGGUUAUAAUUUGCCAAAAUUAACUUUUGUAUCAUCUAAAGUUUUCUUCUGCUUAGACAUGGCCUCAUUAAAAGAUGCAGAUGCUGUUGGGAUGAGCAUGAAGUUUCCCUGUGGGGCUGUGGGCAGCGUGGACGUCAGCCAGCACUGUACGGACAGCUGUGACCAGAGAUUGGAGAUGACCUCCCUGCCCUUUUCCACCCCUCACCAGUCCACUGUGAGAAGCCGGGUUGAUUUUGCAGGUUAGAUAGAGGUCACCACCUGGCCACCCUCAGCCGGGUUGAUUCUGCUGGUUAAAUAAGGCCAUCACCUGGCCACUCUCAGCCGGGUUGAUUGUGUGGGUUAGAUAGAGGCUGUCACCCGCCACCCUCAGCCAGAGCAUCUGUGGGCACCUGUGCAUAGUCAGUGCUCAGUAAAUAUUUGCUUGAAUUUUCUGGUGGGAGACGCGUCUUCCAUGUUUGGAUGGGAGCCCCUUCUCUGGCCUCUGUGCCUCCGAGAGCUGAUUUGUGGCCGUGGCUUUCCUUUAUGUUGGCUGUUGUUCCACAGAAGCUUCCGUGGCUGUUACACAGAAAGCCGCUGUUGGUCAAGGUGUGCCAUGGGAAGCGAUAAAGACGGUCCUGGAAAGUCCUGACACACGCCAUGUGUCACCCACCCACACGCCCCAUCCCCACCACAAAACCCCCUCGUGGUGCUGAGUCAUCACUGCCAGGAGGCCCCUGCCCUCCCACCUGCCACGCUUAGCCUGGUUAACGCCUGUUUUACAAUGGCUCCCAGGUGCGUGGGUCCCAGAUGGAGAAUCAGAAUCCCUUGGGCAUCACCGGUCGGGGCACAUCCCUGUCCCUCUGCUUGCAAAGCCAGGCUAGCUGCUACCAGGAAUCAUAUCGAGAGCUCUUCAGACACUUUGUCAGAACGCUUAAAGGGGGGUGAAGUUCUCAGGAGGACACUGGGGUGUCCUGAUGGUCGACAGGAGAUGCCUUCCAGGCUGCAGUCAGUGCAGACGAUAUGCCAAUUUCAGGUGGAAAAACGCGUUCUGGAUACCAGGUUCAGAUCUGCAAUUGUCCAUCCCAGUGAUCAUUUGCGUUACACGUACUUGAGGGAGGUUCUGAGAUGCCCGUUUGGGGUUCUGUGGAUGUACCCUGUUCCUUGACGUCCUAAGAAGUGUUCUUGACUCUGAGGUUUAGAAAACGACAGUGACUCCCUCCUGAGCUCUGGUGGAUAUCCUGUGUCCUGGAAGAUGGGACAUCUUCUACCCUCUGUCAGUCCUGGGGGUGACUGGGAACAGGGAGGCUGAGCAGAAUUCCUGGAUCUGGGUCGGGCUUGUUCAAGAGGGCGGGGUGGGCCUCCCUAGAGCCGGCGGCCCCUGCCCGUUCCCCAGCAAGACGAAGACCGGCCCCCAUGUGUUGGCUUCAGUCCUGAAUCUGUGCAAAUGUGCCUCGUGUGAAGGGAAAGAGCCUCCUGAAAUCACCAAAGAGCAGUUCCUCAGGGCCUCUGGGUGCCGUGGCCGCGGAGCAGUCGUGGUGGAACCGGCCAGCUGUGGACCUGCCCUGCGAAUCGGCAGAGGCCUCCGAGGUGAAGACGGAAGCCCCGUGAACCAACCCGAGGCUGGAGCCCAGACGCUGCUCCUAUCCACUUGCCUGUUUCACUUCUCGCUGCUACUGAGAGAGGGAGAUGGAACCUUCCAGGGACCUUGUCCUCACUGGAAACUCAGACGGGGUGGCACUGGGAAACCAUGUCUGUUUCAUUGCUGGUAUAACCAGGCUUUUCAAGAUGUGACUUCACACCGAGGGACACGAGUAGGGCUUGCUUGCCCGUUUUCUGUGUGUGCAGGCCCGGUAAAGAGAUGCUUUUCCGGUCAGGGUUCCCCGGGUGGAGCCUCGGAGUCUCCGGUUGGCUCUCAGGAAGAGGGCAGGUCAGGGGUUGGACGGGGUAAAUGGACCCGGAAACCUGCUUUUCUGUGGCAAACAGGGCCAAGGGCCGGUGAAGCUCUAAAGACUAAACGUUGCGUGUGUGUGAAGCAGACUGCAGGUCUCCUGAGGCCUUUUUUGGGGUAAUCACACCAGUAUUUAAAGAAGAGUUUUCUUGAAGCAUCUGAUUUUGUGCCUAGUAAUGACACAGCACCAUUUCCGGGAAGUAGGAGCGAUCCACGUGUGGGGUGAAAACCCGUCUUCCGUUCCUCUUGCCUGAAUCUGGGUGUGGAAUGAAUGGUGCUGUUUUCCCCCCACAGGGCCGGGGGGGUCUUUUGGGAACAGGCCUCCUGCUUUCCUGUUUGCAGCGGGUCGGGGGGACCUUCCUUCGGAGGGCAGCGCCUUGCGGAGUGGACUUGCCCGGGUCCGCUUAGCCUUCCAAAGCGAUGUGCGGAGCCUACUGGAGGCGUUUUCACAUAUUUGAAAAUAAUGGCCCGUAUUUCUCAUGCUGUACUUAAAAAAAAAAUGACUUCUUAAACAAAGGUAUUCAGU
rnacentral:lncRNA from 1 species